UGGCGGAGGCCCAGUGGAGUGCGAAUGAGAAAGUGGAAGCCGGGAGCAUAAACGGCUCUUGUGUCAAAGCGGGCAGUCGUGCGGAGGAGGGCCCAAGGUCUUUCCAAGAUACAUGUACUAAUGGAUGAACUGGAUGUAUUGCCAGGCCAACUAUAGACAAUAAUCUGGAUCAAACUGAAGGAGAUCUUUGAAAGCUGCUCCGAGGUUGCUCUGAUCCUGGAGCUGGGGACGGGACAAGAGCUGUGUGACAGGUAAUUAGUGCAUAAACCAGACCUUCCCCGGGACGUUGGGAGUCCUUAACCUAUGGAGGCCAGCCUCCCAGCUGCUGCAUCUACCACCAGGACACAGGGG
rnacentral:lncRNA from 1 species